CACGUAGGGGGCAAGCGUUGUCCGGAUUUAUUGGGCGUAAAGAGCUCGUAGGCUGUUCGAUAAGUCGGGUGUGAAACCUCCAGGCUCAACCUGGAGACGCCACCCGAUACUGUCAUGACUAGAGUCCGGUAGGGGAGCGUGGAAUUCUUGGUGUAGUGGUGAAAUGCGCAGAUAUCAGGAGGAACACCAGCGGCGAAGGCGGCGCUCUGGGCCGGUACUGACGCUGAGGAGCGAAAGCGUGGGUAGCAAACAGG
rnacentral:rRNA from 1 species